CCACUUGAACGCCGACAGCUCUAUCACGUUUGUCCCGUCCAAUCUGCGUGAGCGAUGUCUUGCUUUGUCGUACGUUUCUUCACAUGAUUGGCCGAGCUUUCCUCUAUCCCCACUGCACUGUUCCUUUAUCCUCACUACCGGCUUUGUACAGUCCGAAUCCAUUUCCCUAUUUCUUAGUACCUGCACAUGACCGAAUGUGCGCCGACCACGAGCAGCGUUUCUCGUGCCAACCAUUGUCGCGUCGUCAAAAUUAAUAGGGUUUUUGCAAUAACGUUUUAGAUACGGUGAAAGUUAAAGUCACGUUAUUAGGUCGAAAGACAGAAAUGCACAUGCGCAUCGUUCACCGUAACGCUAAGCAGAUAACGUGCUUAAUUCGUAAUUUUUUAAAGAAUAUGGUUCACGACGAUUAGCGUCGACAUUAUCAGGGAGUUUUUGCAAUGCGGUGACAUGCACAGGCUUCCUUGAAAUCUACUGGAGGCUAUUUCGAAUAUUUGCUAUGUCCAGUGUAUAUCCGUGGCAAAACCGAGGAAAUAAAUAAACAAUUGAAACUCCUAUGCGAUUUGAUGUGAUAAUUUCUUUAGACAUUGCAGAAAAACUUCGAACCGUUACCGUCGUAACUCCAGAAACAAGCAUUUCCGACCCCAUGUUCAUGAGACAUUUUCUACUUAUUUAGGUAACUUAUUCCCAAAGUUUGUACAGGCCAUUCAGAUACACCUUGUAUAUUUAACACAACGGUCCAUACAUACUUAUAUAUGCUAUAGUUAAAAUUUUCGCGCCAGAUAUCGGAACUUUUUUAUUUAAACAAUUCUUUUCACGAAAAAAGGAAGAGAUAGAAGGAAGAAUUAAACUGUCAACCCAAAUAUCGCAUUUCAUUAUUAAUGUAAUUAACAAAUUCACCGUUAAUCGAAAAAUUAUGAUUGGAACAAAUCAUAUGUAACGAUGGAUGUUGUCACAUGAUAUACUAGCCACUGAGAGCUCGCUUGCCGAGGAUUAACGAUACAGAAAGAAUCGCGGCGACAAUCCUUGUAAAAUGCUUCGUAAUUGAUUACUGUGCCAUUUUGAAAGCUGUGAUAUGUGUAACUAAUAUAUGUGAGAUUAGCAAUUAUUAAAAUGCAUAUGUUUAUGAAAAUCUUAGAUGAAACCCAACUGUAUUUCUUGUAAAAUUUUGAUGUUUUAUUUUGCUGUCAUUUAAUGAGCGAUCUACAAUUAAAUUCUCCACUUGAUACAAUAUAAG